GUGGAUAGCUUAAUAUGAGGGGAGGCACAUAGGUUUGCUAAUUCUGUUUCUGGGCUGGCCUAUGAGAUGGAGACCAAAGCAAACUUCAGCAGGUUUCAGGUGCACAUCCUCUUUCCCUUGGGUUUGUCUCCCUAGCUAAUCUGGAGCAUUGUACAUAUUGGUAGAUAUAGUUAGUUAUUAUUUUCUAGCUGUUAUGAUAGUCAGAGCACAUAAAUGCUUGGUCUUACUUCAGUUAGUGGCUGACAUUCUAAUUUGUGAAAUUAUACCUGAAGAAAGUGUGUCUUCUUAUUGUUUUGCGCAGAUACCAAAUUAACUAGGUUUACGCAAAUAAGCUUCUUCAUUGUUUCCCUUCUGGGGAAAAGUUGUGGUCAUGUUAGUUGGUUGGUUGGCAUGCAUCUGCAAUAACUGCGUGGUGAAGCACUGGUCCUAAUAUGUCAUGGGUUUCAGUGGCACGUAAGUAGGAUCUACUCAUUGUUCCAUUGACUGCCCUCCGGUGAAUUUUUACCCAUUUCCCUCUUUGAUGCUUUUGCGUCCAUAUGUCUAACUUGGUCUUCUUUCAACAUUUCUCAUGGUUUAUGUGGCAGCGUGGUUGGCUGAUGGCUUAUAGCUUUCUGUAUCAUCUAUCAAAUGUGCGUGCUAUGAUAUUCUGUAAGGCUAGGAUCAUUUCUUGCCUUCAUAAUGUGUUAAAUUAAUUAUCAUAGUUAUAUGGUGAAUCUCGACAAUCCCCCAAGGACCAGGCCAUAGCUUAUGGUCCCUGUUUGGGUUUAUUUUGUUGCAAAAUGUAUUUUUGGAAAAAUGUUAUUAAGUUAUCGCUUUCUCCGCCUACCUCCCUUACAUCCUAAGGCUUCAUACCUUUCUCAUUUUAGUUGUCUUUUCGAGAUCGCCAUUACAUCCUUGAUGAACUAUACAUGUGCGACACAAGGCAUAUCAGACAUGACUGUUUCAUGACCAAGAUCGACCAGAACUGGCAUAAAAGAAAUCAUUCACACAAUCAAGUUUGAUAAUUGAAAUUUUUUGUAGCUUGCUAAUGUCGUCGAUAUAAGCCAUCUUUUAUGUUGUACUGGUGGACAAAGAAGUAUAACAAGUUCAUAUAUUUUAUAUAUUGUAUUAUACAGUAGAGUGCGGGAUGUAUGAUCUGUAUGAAACUAACAUCAUAUAUUGCCUUCAUAUUAUCACUUAGUACAUCCCCAGUUAAUGUAAUUCAUUUUUUUUCAUUUGAGUGAGAAGUUGAUGGUGCAAUUUUUCAUUGUUUUUCGUUAUCAUGUUUGAAUUUAUUAAAGGUUUCUUAGCAUUAGUUUCUUCUUGCAUGCAGUUUUCGUCACUGGGUCACCUGAUGGGUAAUGGGUGAGUGAGUCUGCAUGCUUGUUAUCAGCUCGUAAAGCGGAUGAUGGCGUUGAUAGUUUGGCCAUUGUGGAGGAUAUUAGGUGCUCAAUCAAACAUAUAAACCCUUCUAGAGUACCCGCAUAACCGAGGCAACUGCGACCGCUAGCGAUUUUGGGUCGCUCGAUCUACCUACGUGUAAAGUUUUUUGUACUUUUCAUCUGCCUGGCAAACAUUCGGCCGCCAAUUCUGCCUCACGCAACCUAGUUUCAGUUUUGGAAAUGACGGCUGGGCCAUCCUCCGUCGCGGGACCGGCUAUCCAGUGCGUGUUGCGUGGGCUCGUUCGGGUGGGUGUUCGAUGUGUGUUGCGGUAAAAAGGUGGGUGGGCUGUGAUCGUGGUGGACUGGAGCGCUUGUCGGUCACAGCAUGGGGUGGAGAGCCAGGACCAAUCCUCUCGUCGAAACCUAGCGCACUCGGGCCAAUCCUCUCCAUGCUCGAGCCCCUCUUCUCUUUCGGCGCCGUCUUGCCUCCCCUGAUCUCUCCCAUCCACCAUCGCGAGCGGGGCGGCCGUGAGAGAUCAUCAGCGGCGACGAGAGAGCUGGCGGAAGAAGGGGCCAGGUCAAGGCGGGUGUUGGAGACCGAAGGGGUCUGGUGGGCGUGGUGGCAGGGCUGCAGCGGCCUGUGGGGCGUCGACCAGACUAGCAGCGACCCCGAAGGAGGGGAAGGGCCCGACAGGCGCGUCCAGGGAGGACAGGCUUGGGGGCCUCGUGGAUUGGGGAGAUAGCGGCCACCGGGUUUCUCCAAUCGAUCUGCGAUCUGGACAGGGCCACGACAAUGCAGGUGAGGGGCGUAGGCGAGCGACCCUAUGCAGACGCGCGUUGACAGGUAGAAGGCGUAACACUCCUCCCACCUUUGCUUCUCCCCUCCUCCCCUUUGCUUCCCACUCCUUUCCGAUCUAGCCUGCCCACCUACGUCCGCAUCGUUUUUCUCUAAGUUUUUACUGCUUGAUUCUCUGGUUCUCUGAUGAUCUUAUUUUGAUUCCUCAACUUUUAGUUACUUGUGGAGACUAUAAGAAGAAUUUUGAGGAAGAGUUUGAUCAAGAAGACCAAUGUGAAUUAUAUCUCUCUUGAACAGAUUCACGCCUGUUCCUGCAUUUUUGGAUUUUUCUGUGUAGUAGAUCACAUGGCAUGAUUUUGUACUCCUCUUACCCACUGAGCAAAGCUACAUUUGUAAAUGAAGGUCUUAGAAGUUUUCGUUUUUACCUUUUGGUCUGAUAGAUCAGUGCAUGGUGUUGGUCAUGUGAACAGAGGUUGUCCAUUCUCCUUCUGAUAGAUUGGUACAUGGAAUUAUUAUGUACAGAUGACCCUUCCAAGAUGAAUAUUUGAGUGCUCUUCUUGUUUGAAAUUUUUUGUUCACAGGAGUAGGCUGACACCCGCAGUUGUUUGGCAUCAAAUUCAGAAAAUACACAUCCUAAGAUUGAAGCAAUGCAACCUGAACCAAAGGUUUGUACGCCCACCAUUAUUAAUAUUCCAUACUAUUUGUGUUCUUCAGAUCCCAAUAAUUCAUUCGGUCUUGCUUUUGACAUAAAACACAAGUAUUAGCUUUGAGCCCCUUCUCCACCACAGGCAAAGAGAAGACGAGGUCGAACCCCAACACCGGAAGGUAUCUUGGCACCAAACCAUCGCGAGGAGAAGGGGAUGUGUUGUUGUGCAUGAGGUGUUAAUAAACUUUCACAUUCUUUGUUCUGGUAGAUUUGGUGUGUUGGGUUCCAUGUAUGUUGUAUUUAUUUUCCUUAGAUUGCUCUGGUGUUUUGGUGGAAAUUGAUCAGGGAGGGCCUAGGAUUUUGUCAAGUUUUUUGUCAGGUUAUUCGAUGUAUAGGACUGUGCUUCUAUGUGUCGUUUCCUUCAAUCUAUCAUUGCAACAGAAGAUGAAGGGUGUCUUCAUGAUCAGUAGACCAGUGUGUGAUACCGCCUGUUGUAGUUCUAUUGCUAUGUAUACAUGGGCAAUAAAUGCAAGUAUUGUUGUUUUGAUGAUGUCUGAGUGUAUCUUGUGUAUGUGCAGAUAAGCAGCCCUGUUCAGAAGUGCUUUAUAGAGGUCCUGUAAGCUUUCUAGACAUACAUGUUGUUUCCAGUCUCUCUCGGCUUCCCCAAUCCUAGAGGUAAUAACAUGAUUUCUUUAUGUUUGCCCAAAUUAAGAAGUGAACUUUUGCUGCAUAUUUGCUUGAUGUGUGUCCUGUAAACUCUAAGCUUUCUAGGCGUACAUGUGCAUGUGUAUUUGUUACCACUAUGAAUUCUAAAUGUUGUUUGCCGGAAUUCAGAAUUGAAUUUUUGCUAUAUAUUUGCUCGCUGCGAGUCCUAUAAAUUCUAAGCUUUCUAGGCAUGCAUGUACACGUGUAUUUGUUAGGUAAUAAUAUGAUUUCUUUAUGUUGUUUGCCAAAAUUCAGAACUGAACUUUUGCUGUAUAUUUGCUUGAUGUGUGUGCUGUAAACUGUAAGAUUCUAGGCGUACAUGUACCCAUGUAUUUGUUAAACUAAUAACCUAAUUACUGCACAUACCAUUUAAACAAACGGUAGCCCCUUGUUCUAUGGAACACCUAUUUUAUUGCCAAGCAAGCCCCGUUUUUUUGCGGUUGCAGCCACCUGAUCACUAACCUGAAUGAGUAGACAUUAUUUAUGGACAUGCCUCCUUUCAUGUCUCCACAGAUGCAAUUUUUGUUUCAAGCAGCCGUAAGGUAGCUUUUAAGAUUGUUCCAAAAAACGGGUACUUUUUUAGAUUAAAGGCCUCAGGGAUAGGCAAGAACUUUAAGAAAUCUCACCCUAGACUUACUACAUCUUUUGCAUAUGAGUGUUUCUUCCGAUUUAAGGAUUGGGAGGGGAAUGCAUUUUCCAAUGCCUCAAUUUUGGUUACUUGUGGAGAGUGGAAGAAGAAUUUUGAGGAAGAGUGUGAUCAAGAAGCCCAAGAGUGUGAUCAAGAAUAUUGAGGAAGAAUUAUCUCUCUCCUGAAUACAGUCAUGCUUGUUCCUGCAUUUUGAUGUUUGAUUAUUUUUGUGUAAUAGAGAACAUGACAUGAUUUUGCACUCUUACCCACUGAGCAAAGCUACACUAUAAAUGAAGGUCUCAAAAGUGUUUGUUUUUACCUUUUUGUUUGAUAGAUCAAUACAUGGUGUUGUUCAUGUGAACAGAGGUUGUUCUUCAGGCCUCUAUAUGAGCUAGCUGUAAUAAUAAUUUCCGUGGGAUGUGAUGAUUCAUUUUUAUCUUCGAUAUGGUUGUUUUCAUCAUAAUAAAAUAUAUGGAAAUCUUGGCUUGCGGAUUAAUGUAGCUUCAGAUGCUUUGUUCUGGGAAGGUGGUAGAAAUCAGUGGUAGAAAUCAGGUACUUAAGCUUCUGUUCUUUAUUAACUUUGAGGCAUAAAUUCAAAUGAUUAGUAUAUGCAUAGCAGUUUAAUGCAAGUGACAGUUGUGCUAAAGUAGAAUCCAAGAUCGAGGAAGGUGUCGAGGGGAGUGUCAUGAAUAUGCAACUUGUAUUACUAGGAGGCCAAAGCCACCAUAUAUAUGAUGUACAUGAGGAUGCCAAAAGGCAAGAAUACAAAAGGCCAAAGGCCAUCAUCAAUAUAACUCUAACACCCCCCCUCAAACUCAUGGUGGCUCGACAACACUGAGUUUGGAGAGGUGAAAUCUAUGUUGUGCUCUAGUCUGUGCCUUCGUGAAGAAGUCCGCUAGCUGUAACUCGGAAGGCACAUACUGAAGAGCAAUAACAUGAUCCUGCACAGCAGCGCACACAUAAUAAGCAUCAACACCAAUAUGCUUGGUAAGCUCAUGCUUCACAGGGUCCCGCGCAAUACUGAUAGCAUCUGUACUGUCGGACAAGAGGGUGGUAGGUGUAGUAACAGAAACACCAAAAUCCUCCAGUAGCCAUCGUAACCAAGUCACCUCUGCCGUCAGAAGAGCCAUAGCUCUCAACUCGGCCUCUGCACUCGAACGAGAAACUGCAAUUUGUUUCUUCGUCUUCCAGGCAAUGAGAGAACCACCAAGAAAAACACAGUAAGCAGAAAGUGAACGGCGAUCCGAAGGAUCACUGGCCCACGUAGCAUCUGAAUAGGCCUGGAGCUGUAACGAGCUGGAACGAGGAAAAAAGAGACGAUGAGAGAUCGUGCCACGAAGAUAUCGUAGAACACGAAGAAGGUGACUAGUGAACUGAAGUGGGAGCGGAAACAAACUGGCUCAGAAUAUGGACAGGAUAGGAGAUAUCCGGACGAGUGACAGCAAGAUAGACAAGACUCCCAACAAGAUGACGAUAACGCGUCGGAUCAGACAAGAGCUCACCAUCAGAAGCACGGAGGUUAAUAUUGAGCUCCAUAGGAGUCUCAGCAGUGCGCUCGUCACUAAGAACCGCACGAGCAAGAAGAUCCUGGAUAUACUUUUCUUGAGAAAUAGAAAAGCCAUCAGAGGAGGAGGAAACCUCAAUCCCAAGAAAGUAACGAAGGGGACCAAGAUCAGACAUAAGAAACUGCUCACUAAGACGGGCCUUGACAAAGGCAAUGUACUCAGAAUCAUCGCCAGUGAUGAUCAUGUCAUCAACAUAUAGAAGAAGAAGAGUGCGACCACGAGCAGAAAGGUGGACAAACAACGCUGGAUCAUGAGCACUGGGCGAAAAACCAGCAGUGACCACAGAGGCAAAACACUCAAACCAAGCGCGGGGGGCUUGCUUAAGGCCAUAUAAAGAGCGACGAAGACGGCAAACCAUGCCAUCAGGAACUGAAUACCCAGGUGGUGGCUGCAUAUAAACUUCCUCACGCAACUCACCAUUAAGAAAGGCAUUCUUAACAUCAAGCUGAGACACGGACCAGUGGCGAACAGAGGCCACAGGGAGAAGUGUGCGGACAGUGGUCAUAUGGGCCACAGGAGCAAAAGUCUCAUCGUAAUCACGACCAUGCUCCUGCUGAAAGCCACGAGCCACAAGACGAGCUUUAUAACGCUCAAGAGAACCAUCAGAGCGAGUCUUAAUCUUAUAGACCCACUUACAAGUGAUGGGACGAACACGGGGGGUGGGGGGUGGGGGGAAGAGAAACCAGGUCCCACGUGUCGUUGCGCUCAAGGGCAGCAAUCUCCCUGCCAUCGCGAACUGCCAUUCAGGAUGAACAAUAGCAUCUCGAUAAGAAGUCGGCUCAAGAACGGUCGAGAGACCAUAACGAGAAGGAGAAUAUCGGUCAGGGGGCGGACAAGGCCGAGAACGAAGACCAUAAGUCGGGUGAGAGGAGGAAGACGACACACCAGAAGUAGAGGGCACAUCGGUAGACUCAUUCACAACACGUGAACGACGAGUAUAAUGGAAAGGAAAGGACGGAAGAGGUGGAAUCACUGGAGGUGGAGACGGGGAAUGUAUCGGUGAUGAAGGUGGAGAAGGGGAAGCUAUUGGCGAUGAAGGUGGAGAAUCAUGCGACGAGUGAGUAGAAGAAACCGUAGGAGAGGACGGUAUCGGAUCUGCAACAGCAGGAUGAGGAGUAGGAAUACUGGGCACAGAGGGAGGUGUAUCUGAGAAAGUAAGAAAAGAGAUGUCCUCCAUAGAAAAAGCCGAGGAGGAUGGACGCGGGUAGAAGGGACGAGAUUCAUCAAAGGUCACAUCCCGGGAAAUACGCAUCCGGCGACCGACAUGAUCCCAACACCGAUAGCCCUUAUGCUCAUCACUGUAUCCAAGAAAGACACACUCAACAAACUAAGCGGUCAGUUUGGUGCGUUCACGAGGGGCAAGCAAAACAUAGCAGACACAACCAAACAAACGGAGCGCCGAAUAAUCAGGAGAACGACCAGAAAGACGCUCGAGAGGAAUACCACCUUGUAGAGCAGCAGAUGGCUGAAUGUUGAUGAGAUAGGUGGAAGUAGUAACAGCCUCAGCCCAGAAGUGAGGCGGAAAAGAGGCGGCGAUCAUCAUCGCACGCGCCGUCUCAAGAAGGUGACGAUGCUUGCGCUCAGCCACGCCAUUCUGAGCAUGAGCACCAGGGCAAGAGAACUGAGCAAGAGUACCCUGCUCAGCAAGAAAUCCUCGCAGCGCAUGGGAGAUAUACUCACCAGCUGAAUCUGCGCGAAAAACACGAAUAGGAGUGAAAAAUUGGGUAUGAACCAUGGCAACAAAUUUUUUGUAUAUAGAUAAGACCUCACUACGAGAAGACAUGAAAUAGAUCCAAGUGUACCGAGAAAAGUCAUCUAUAAAGAUAAUAUAGUAGCGAUGACCCCCUUUCGAAGCAAAGGGAGCCGGACCCCAAAUAUCAGAGUGAACGAGAUCAAAAGGACGCUUGGACACUGACUCGCUAUGAGGAUACGGUAGCUGAAUCUGCUUACCAAGCCGACAACCCAUACAAUCCAACGAAGCGUUACCAGAGACAGACCCCAGAACACCACGAUGAACUAGAGACGAGAGACGAGAACCACAUAAAUGGCCAAGACGAUGAUGCCACUGCUGAAAAGAGCUGGUAGAUGCAACAACAGGGGUUGCGAGAUUGGCAGAGGUGGCAGCGGAGGGAAGAUGAAGCCAGUCAAGCUCCCAGAGACCAUCAGAACGUCGAGGGCCAGCACCAAGUAGAGCGGCCGUGCGACGAUCCUGAACAGAACAUGAAUCAAAGUCGAGAAUGACCCUACAACUAGAGUCAACAAUCUGACCACCAGAUAUGAGCUUCAUGGUAAGUCGAGGAACAUGAGCGACAGAGGGAACAUGAAAUGAAGAAGUGCUAAGAGUGCCUCGACUAGCUACAGGGAGGGGAGUGCCAUCAGCCGUAAGAACACGAACAGGAGACUCGACAGGUCGAACAGAGGUCAAAGUGGAAGAAUCAUAAGUCAUAUGAAAGGAUGCUCCAGUAUCAAGAAUCCAUGGGGAUGUACCUGGAAGAGUAGAUGGUGGUUUCUCAGUGCCAGAAGAGUCAGCCACGGAAACUGCAGAACCUGUCGAUGAAGAAUCCCAAGCAUCAAGCAGGCAUCGCAGCUGCGCAACCUCACGCGCAGACAUGGACACGGCGGGAGAGGUAGAAACACAUGUCGACGAUGAGCAAUCGCCACCUCCUGUGGAAGCCGCGUGGAGAGUCGGCUGAGAGUAGAAAGUCAACGUAGAGCGGUCACCGUCGCGUGCGGAAGCCGCGAGAGGAGUCGACAUAGAGCGCUCACCACCACGUGCAGAAGCCGCGGGAGCAGUCGACAUAGGGCGAGAAUCACCAGUUGCAGAAAUCGUGGGAAGAGUCGCUGAAGAACGACUAACACCAUGCAGAGAAGCAGCUACAAGAGGCGCUGCAGUUGUCGAAGGAGUCAAUAUAGAGCGACCAGCAGCACUGAUGGAAGUCACAAAAGGUGUCGGAGUAGAGCGACAACCACCACCUCCAAACGGGUGAGUACCAAGCACCGAGGAAAGACGCAUUUGUGAGACGGGAUCAAUGUACGAAAUACCGUCGAAAAACAUGGGGCAGCGUGGGAGAGGGGUACCCGACGAACACAUUGUAUCACCUUUUUUCUCUCUCUCUUUUUUUUUUGCAACCACAGACUUCAAGCCAGGCAAACAGAAGCAGACCAACUGGCAGAGUAGCCGUCCGCUCACCAGCAGCCCAAAGCAAUUCACGGGCCGUGCAGGGAGUAGUCCGUACGCGCACACACACAACACACAGGUAGGUGGAUCGAUUCAGCCCCUGUAGUUAACACACGCAGGUGUGAGAAGUGGCCGGCGGCCGAUCUAGCAUGGCUGAUCUGAGGCGUAACCGGCCGGACGUGGACGCGGAUGGCACCUGGAACCGGUGGCCGGCCGACGCGGCCGAUUUUGGGCGGGGACCCGAGCUGCUCGAUCUGGAAAGGCAGGCAGCAGAUCGCGAAGCGGACGGGAUGGGUGGGCAGCUUCGUCCAGGCACUGGAGAUGGCGGAAUCCAGCGGUCGGCGGCAGAGAUCGGCUGCUGGCCUGCAGCGGCGGAUGCAGACAACCCCCUGGCCAGGGCGUGCACCUGCUGCGGGAGAAAAAGACGCACGGUGCGAGGCCUCCAAAUCGAGACACCCGCGAACACGAGGUUGACGAGGGCACCGCCGGGAUUGGACGAGACGGGGUGGGUGGGAGAAGAGGCGCCUGUGGUAGCAGACGACGUGGAGCAGCACAGCCGGGAAAAGGAAAACACGGCGGCGCGAUUGGAUCUGAGCACGAGUUGCGACGUGCGAAAGAAAAACCUAGAGCUUUAAUACCAUGUCAUGAAUAUGCAACUUGUAUUACUAGGAGGCCAAAGCCACCAUGUAUAUGAUGUACAUGAGGAUGCCAAAAGGCAAGAAUACAAAAGGCCAAAGGCCAUCAUCAAUAUAACUCUAACAGGGAGCACACCAAAUUCUAUCAAAGUAAUUAUCAACAAUGCUAUUCUGAAUUAUAGUGGCAGUUGGUCAAUAUCAUGAACUUUUGCACUAUGAUUUGUUUUAUUAUUAUUAUAUACUGUGUGGAACAACUUCACGGGACAAAGAAGCCUAAUACUCCUCAUGGACGAGGUUGAUAGUAUAUAUGGUGGUGGAAUGUGACAAAUGUGACCGGUAAUACUUUGACUGCAUCUCAAUGCUUCUGUAGUGGGAGCAUUUCAGUGUACAUAAUGCUUCAUGGGAUAUGUAAAUUUUUAUUGUCUAAAAAUAUGAAUGCCCAUGAUCUCUGCCUGAUCUAGUUUUAACCAUCAAUCUGAUAUUUUAUUUGCACAAAGGAUGAAUUUUCUGGCAGCGUGGAGAGCCUAUAUAUUGAUGACCAGCUGCCUUAAAUUUACUUGUGAGCAAUUCAUAUAUAAUGAUCUGCCAUUUGUUUUCUUCUAGACCAAGAUUGAUUAGCUUGCAUUUAAGUACCAUUUCGAGGUUUCGUCGAUAAUGUUAUUCAUCGUCAGUGUUUCAGUUUCAUUAGUCCUCACAUGAACAUGUUGAUUUCUAAUUUCUCUGCACAUAAAUAUGCAAGACAUAUUUGUACCAUUUCCCUGUAGUUAAGCAGAACAGGGCAGGGCUCACAUUUACUUCUUUCUAACGUAAUGAGUCUGCUAUUACCUGCUGAUACUUGACAUUAGUGAUCAGCUUGACGCAAGCUUUUGAUCAGCUUGACGCAACCUUUUGUGUCGAUUACUUUCUGUUUUUUUAUAAACAUCAUUAUUUUUUUAUUUUUUCUAUUGUGUUUUUUUGCUUCCUUUUUCUGUCAAACUCUCAUGUGGUACUGUUUGUCGAGCAUUGAUAUUGUUUCACGUACAAUUCAUUAUUGUUUGCUCAUUUAAAUUAGAUGUUCAAAAAUAUGAUAAAUGUGGGGCCUUGGUGCUAGAUGAGACACUGACAUGUACUACAGAAAAGAAAAGUAAGCUCCCGUUAUCAUUCACUUGCCCUAUUUAUCCUAAAGCUGUAUAGUUAGUUCCAGUUCUGUUUAUAUGCUGGUUAGUUACACUAUAUGAUAUAGCUAGCUAUGUAGUUUUCUUUAUGAAGUCGGUGUAAAUAAGCUACCGCAAGCUACCUUCGUAGCUUUCUUUUGAUGUAAGUUGAUGCUUUUAGUCUAUCGUGCUUCCUAUUAUCCGGCUUGAUAUGCCUGAGCCAGUUAUGUAUAAAGACGCCAUCUAAGUAUCUCCUUGCAUUGGUAUGCCUGAACCAUAGUGUUAUCAGGAUCGAUAAAAUAUGCCAUCUAAGUAUAAUGGUUUUAAAUUUUAAUGCUUGGUUUGCUUUGGCUACUUGCACCAGUUGCACAAGUAGCCUCUGUUUUUAUUCCACAUCCCCAAGGACAAUAUAUUUUGACCUUCUAUCUUUGUUCAAGUGUAAUAUCUCAGAUCGAAAGACACAACCUUAUUUUGAAUGGUAACUAAUUGGAUCCGACCACGAGUGAGCCAAGGGAUCGUUGUACUCCCUCGCUGUCUUUCCCAGUUUCAGUCACUGCGAGAGCAAGUAUACUAUGUUUUGGAAGCAAAGAGAAGAUAUCUCGAUGCGAAAUGCUUCAACCAUCAGGUUUUAAUGUUAGCCAUUAUUAGGUUUAUGAAAAAGUAUAUCACUGCUACCAUGCUUCUAUUCUACAUUUUUUUUGUCAUAGGAUGCAUGUGACAUCAUUAGUAUUAAGUAUGAGGUAGGGGUUUUAAGCCUUUAGGUAGAUCUCAAGGUCUCAUUGAGUUUUAUGGAUGGUACUGCCAUCAGAGGGGAGGGUCUGAUUGUUGGAAGCUAUCAGUGAAAGAGAGCGAACAUUUAAUAGAGAUGCCCGUGCGAUGGUAUUAAUCUGACCAUGUUUAUGUAUAUGGGUGGCGUUUUUUCCAUAAAAUUUGUCCGUUUGCAAUUUAUCUUUUGCCGAGGCAAAAGAAAUGGUGUGUGUGGGAGAACUAAUAUAUUUUAGGGCAAUGGCUUAAUUGCACACAGGAAAAAAGAUUUGGAAUGUAUAUGGCAAAAUGAAGGACAACAAUAUCAAAACCUGGUCUACAGGAACCAAACACACCUACGAUGAAGAGUUGUUUAGACAAUGAAAUCAUGGUCAAUAUUGAUGGAACAUGCAGUGAUGGCUCUACCUAAUAUCACCGCCUUCAUGUCUUUCCUGUUGGCAGCAGAUACAAGACUCAGCCAGGGGUUAAGAGACCAGCUCUAUCUAUAUGAUGCAUCUCUGCUAAAAUAGUUUGCUUAUAAAGCCAAUGUAAGCUAUCAUCAAGUGAUCUCAUAACCUUCUUUUGAGCUAUCAUGCUACCAUGUAAUGAAAUAUAUAACAUUGUGUAUCUAUGUAUCUAUGAAAUUGGCUUUAAAUCACUCUUACGUUCAUGGUUUCACUCUCGCUUUUUGCAUCAUGGGCGCAAUGGGUCAUCUAGCAUGAACAAAGGACAAGCAUAUGCUUUCGCCUUCAAAUGCACUUUCAAGGGACUACGCCUGAUCGUCUACUCAAUAUAAGUUGCAAGAGCCCCUUGUUAUAUAACUUAGUAUUAGUAUAAAUGUCUACCAAGACUUCUGUGUUUAUCAUCCUUUUGGAUCUUAUGUAAUCCCCUUAGACCAACAACAAUUAACUUAGUGCAUCAUUUUGUAUCUUAUGUAAAACAAACCAUGACAAUCCUGUGCGUAUGACUAUCGCUUGCUUGCUGCAUACACUAUCAUGAGCUAUGCUUUUCGAGCAGCAAUAUUUUAAUGCACACUCUUUUAAUACUU
rnacentral:lncRNA from 1 species